UUCUCUGUACUCACCUGCCAACCUGUUGAACUCACACAACAAAAAGUGAAACGUUCACGGUUUAACAUUUACAUUGCGUUAAUAUUUAGAGAAUAUACUAUUAGCUAGCUGCCCCUUUAUGUAAAUUAGCUAAAUAAGCUGUUUAACGUCGAGUAUUUAUCGACGUACAUUAACUUGAUUAGCGUUACCUGUCCUGUAACUAGCAGCUGGCGAUCCUCUUCAAACAACAUGAGAUGCCGAGGGGUCAGGGCGAGUUGAAUCCCAUGUCAGAAGUGUCCCCACGUUGACCUGCGCCUGACUGGCCUCCCAGCAAAAAGCCCCUGUGAAGAAGGCGAAGAGGCUGAUCUGAAGGUGAAAAACAUCCUCCUCCUCCUCCUCCUCCCUCCUCCUCCCUCCUCCUCCUCCCAGCUGAACAUCUGUCUCUGAGUGUUGGCUGCAGCACCGACUCUGACACCUCCAGAUGGAGAGCCCGCUGGGAGCGCUGAGGUAUUACCCACAGAGAUGGCAGGGAUCACACCUCAGGAGUGAAGCCCCCCACACUUGUUUUCUGCACUGUCCCCUCUCUUUUUUUGUUGUUGAAUCUGUCACUUUCCACCGUGGCUAUUGUCACUAUUGUCACCUCCACAGUCCUUGGCCUUGUGACUCAUCUGAAGAGCUUCUGCUGUUGUAAAGAAAAUGCAUUGACAACAAACCCGCUCAGCCUUUUUUUUUCCAAUUUACAGUAAUGGGCCGUAUGCUAUUUCAACUGUAACUUCUAUUAGUGGAGCUGUAUUAAUUUUUAAUAUAGUUGUGUGAGAACUGCAUACUCAUGCAUAUAUAUUUCAAAUCAUGCAGAUCCCUUGAAACGUCUUUUUUUUUCAUAGAACAAUUUUCCCGUCAAUGAUCUUUAAACUCUUUAGACUAAAAUAUUAAAAGCAAAAAUCUGUGAAAAUGUAAAAGUAUGAGAGGCCGAGAGUUCUCCGAGCCCACUCCGGGUGUCUUGACAGAUUGACUCUGCAUUCAUUUGUGCCUGAACUCUGCGUGAACCUCAGCUUUAGGGAGAAAAAAGGGCACCAACAGGCCGGUGCUGCUGGGGCAGAAAGUGUGUGCACAAACCCAACACCCAGAGCAAAUAUUGAAACUGCUGCCCCUUUAGCGUCACGUGAAACCAGGUGGUCAGGUCCUGCAAACGUUUGGCUCAAACUGAAGCCACAGUGACCUCUGAAAUGUGGAUUCCUCACACUAUUCUCCCUGUUUUUUUUUUUAAGACAAAAUGUGGGUGUUUGAUCACUGGUAUUAAAC